GCUGCAGAAAGGAAAGACUCAGUACAGCUCCAGUGACAGUUCCAUUCCUCACCCUCGAGGGGUCCAAGCAGUGAAAAGCCAUGUGACAAUCACAAGGACCUGCUGUCAAUCUCUUAGUUAGGUCUCACAGGCAUAAGACCAUGCUUGUCCCCGCAGCCCGAGAGAUCCACACAUCCAUACACCUAAAAUGCUGAGCCUAAAACUAAAGGUAUCCUGACUACCUGACAUCAUCAGCCAAGAGGACACAGGGGGAAGCCAAUGCCACAUUAUGCAACCAACCGCGACACAGCCGUGUGACAGCUAUACAUGUAACGUCACACAUACACCUGUGCCCAUAGGAGCCUGACCCAGGCAUAGCUCAGGUAUGAGCAACACCACGACAAGUCUGUGAGCAAUGGAUCUAAUCCCCUACCAGUACCAGAAAAGAGACAGCACCAGCCCCCUCCUAUGAGAAGGACCUAGAUGGAAAAUAGCUGAGCUGAGAGCAAACAGAUUCUCAGAAGGGGCACAGAGAGACCAUGACCACACGGAAAAACAAAAUGGGCACCAGACCAACCCAGGCUUUAGACUUCCAUAGUUUAUGGUAGGCUCCAGUCAGACUGGGGAAGGGUCUGCAAAUUCCUGAGAUCCUGAUUAAGUUACCCAGCCCCAGCCCAACUUCAGCAGAGGCCGAUAAUCCUUUACAAGUUAAUUCCACAGUCCCUAGAGAAAGUUCCUUAAGCUAUCAAGGCAAAUGAUCGCUCUCUCCCUGCACUGGCGCCAAUGGAUCUGGCAGCCAGGUAACUGGAUAAACACGGUGUUGCUACUGGUCCAGGACUAGAACAUAAGGGGACGACAAACCUACUAAAAGAUUGUCCAAGAUAGCCACAAGGAGGACGCCAAGGUCUGGCCAGGGAAAGGAAGUCAGAUGAUGAGUACAUACCUGUAGAACAGUAGGCAACACCAACUCUGGGAAAGCGAUGCUGUGGGCCUGGCUGUGCAGGUAUUCCAGAGUAAGGUCACACAGCUGUUCCAGCAGCCCGUCCUGGGGGGCAGGCCCAACCUCAUCAGAUGAUGAAGCCCAGUAGCCCAUUUUCUUACAUUUCACCCCAACUCUGCUCAAUCUCCAAGACCAGGGCUAUAAAACAGUACGCACAGACCCCCCCAAGCCACACCCAGCUUCACGGGAACUGAGAUUAAGGAGUCAUUGCUCCAUGACUACAAAAACCUCAAUCUUAGCAUUUGAAAAGUGGAACUCUGUGAGUUCAAGGCUAGCCUGAUCAAUAUAGCAAGUUCCAGGACAGCAAGAGCUAUAUAAUAGAGAGAUCUUGUCUCAAAAGAAACCACAAAUGGUCCACAAUGGGAAUCCCUCCCUUGUAUAUCAACGGCCUUAUUAAGUCCUUGUAAACCAA